rnacentral:rRNA from 1 species
AGAUAGAAAAUAGGUGCCCGUACCGCAAACCGACACAGGUAGUCAAGAUGAGAAUUCUAAGGUGAGCGAGCGAACUCUCGUUAAGGAACUCGGCAAAAUGACCCCGUAACUUCGGGAGAAGGGGUGCUCUUUAGGGUUAACGCCCAGAAGAGCCGCAGUGAAUAGGCCCAAGCGACUGUUUAUCAAAAACACAGGUCUCUGCUAAACCGUAAGGUGAUGUAUAGGGGCUGACGCCUGCCCGGUGCGGGAAGGUUAAGAGGAGUGGUUAGCUUCUGCGAAGCUACGAAGCGAAGCCCCAGUAAACGGCGGCCGUAACUAUAACGGUCCUAAGGUAGCGAAAUUCCU